rnacentral:rRNA from 1 species
UGGGGAAUAUUGCACAAUGGGCGAAAGCCUGAUGCAGCAACGCCGCGUGCGGGAUGACGGCCUUCGGGUUGUAAACCGCUUUCAGCAGGGACGAAGGUUUUCUGACGGUACCUGCAGAAGAAGCACCGGCUAACUACGUGCCAGCAGCCGCGGUGAUACGUAGGGUGCGAGCGUUGUCCGGAAUUAUUGGGCGUAAAGAGCUUGUAGGCGGUCCGUUGCGUCGGAAGUGAAAACUCAGGGCUUAACCCUGAGCCUGCUUUCGAUACGGGCGGACUUGAGGGAUGUAGGGGAGAACGGAAUUCCUGGUGGAGCGGUGGAAUGCGCAGAUAUCAGGAGGAACACCAGUGGCGAAGGCGGUUCUCUGGACAUUUCCUGACGCUGAGAAGCGAAAGCGUGGGGAGCAAACAGGCUUAGAUACCCUGGUAGUCCACGCCGUAAAACGGUGGGCACUAGGUGUGGGACCCAUUCCACGGGUUCCGUGCCGUAGCUAACGCAUUAAGUGCCCCGCCUGGGGAGUACGGCCGCAAGCUAAAACUCAAAUGAAUUG